rnacentral:lncRNA from 1 species
UAUAUAUUUUUCUUUAUUAAGGCCACUCUUAUAUUGUUUCAGAUAUCUCCAUUUCUAAUCUUAUCUCUUAUUACGCACACACUUAUUUUCACAACUUUCAUCUUCUGAACAGAAAAAUCUUAACUGAUCAACACGUAUUUCAUUUCAUAUAGCAUAAUCGAUCUUAUCACCACUCCAUAAAAUUUACCUUUUAAAUUUUGAU